rfam:Fomitiporia mediterranea MF3/22 unplaced genomic scaffold FOMMEscaffold_3, whole genome shotgun sequence.
GUCUCUGUCGAUUAGUGGUUAAAUCGCCACGUUGUGGCCGUGGCGCCGUGUGUUCGAUUCACACCAGAGACA